ensembl:miRNA
GGCGCUUUUGUGCGCGCCCGAGUCUGUUGGUGCUCAGAGUGUGGCCAGGCGGCUCGGACCGAGCAGGUGGGUGCGGGGCUCAGGGAGGAGGUGGC